rnacentral:misc_RNA from 1 species
GAUGAAGAACGUAGCGAAAUGCGAUAAGUAAUGUGAAUUGCAGAAUUCAGUGAAUCAUCGAAUCUUUGAACGCACAUUGCGCCCCCUGGUAUUCCGGGGGGCAUGCCUGUCCGAGCGUCAUUACAACCCUCAAGCUCAGCUUGGUGUUGGGCCCCGCCGCCCCGGCGGGCCCUAAAGUCAGUGGCGGUGCCGUCCGGCUCCGAGCGUAGUAAUUCUUCUCGCUCUGGAGGCCCGGUCGUGUGCUCGCCAGCAACCCCUAAUUUUUUUCAGGUUGACCUCGGAUCAGGUAGGGAUACCCGCUGAACUUAAGCAUAUCAAUAAGCGGAGGA